rnacentral:tRNA from 1 species
AUUUAUAUAGUUUAAUUAAAACAAUACAUUUUCAUUGUAUAAAUAAAAUAUUAAUUUUUAUAAAUA